UACAGAGGUCUCGAGCGUUAGGCGGAAUCACUGGGCUUAAAGCGUGUGUAGGCGGAUCGGUAAGUACCUUGUGAAAAUCCCACAGCUUAACUGUGGAACUGCUUGGUAUACUGCCAGUCUUGAGCCAGCUAGGGGCUACCGGAACAAAUGGUGGAGCGGUGAAAUGCGUAGAUAUCAUUUGGAACGCCAAUGGUGAAAACAGGUAGCUGGGGGCUGUGCUGACGCUGAGGAACGAAAGCGCGGGGAGCAAACAGG
rnacentral:rRNA from 1 species